AGAGUUUGAUCCUGGCUCAGGAUAAACGCUGGCGGCGUGCCUAAUGCAUGCAAGUCGAACGGUCUAGCCCGCAAGGGUUAGGUAGUGGCAAACGGGUGAGUAACACGUGGGGAUCCGCCCAGUAGUGGGGAACAACUCCGAGAAAUCGGAGCUAAUACCGCAUACGGUCGAGAGACUAAAGCCUUCGCAAGAGGGUGCUAUUGGAGGAACCUGCGGCUGAUUAGCUAGUUGGUGGGGUAAAGGCUCACCAAGGCGAUGAUCAGUAGCUGGUCUGAGAGGAUGGACAGCCACACUGGGACUGAGAUACGGCCCAGACUCCUACGGGAGGCAGCAGCAAGGAAUUUUCGUCAAUGGGGGAAACCCUGAACGAGCAACGCCGCGUGGGCGAAGAAGUCCUUCGGGAUGUAAAGCCCUUUUCCCUGUGAAGAAAGAAAGACGGUAACAGGGGAAUAAGCAUCGGCUAACUACGUGCCAGCAGCCGCGGUAAUACGUAGGAUGCAAGCGUUGUCCGGAAUUAUUGGGCGUAAAGAGCGCGCAGGCGGUUUUUCAAGUCAGAUGUGAAAUAUCCGGGCUUAACCUGGAGGGGUCAUUUGAAACUGAAAGACUAGAGUACAGCAGAGGAUAGCGGAAUUCCCGGUGUAGUGGUGAAAUGCGUAGAUAUCGGGAGGAACACCAGUGGCGAAGGCGGCUAUCUGGGCUGAAACUGACGCUGAGGCGCGAAGGCUAGGGGAGCAAACAGGAUUAGAUACCCUG
rnacentral:rRNA from 1 species